CCCGCUGAACUUAAGCAUAUCAAUAAGCGGAGGAAAAGAAACCAACAGGGAUUGCCUCAGUAACGGCGAGUGAAGCGGCAACAGCUCAAAUUUGAAAUCUGGUCCCCAGGGCCCGAGUUGUAAUUUGCAGAGGAUGCUUUUGACAAGGUGCCUUCCGAGUUCCCUGGAACGGGACGCCAUAGAGGGUGAGAGCCCCGUCUGGUCGGACACCGAGUCUCUGUAAAGCUCCUUCGACGAGUCGAGUAGUUUGGGAAUGCUGCUCUAAAUGGGAGGUAUAUGUCUUCUAAAGCUAAAUACCGGCCAGAGACCGAUAGCGCACAAGUAGAGUGAUCGAAAGAUGAAAAGCACUUUGAAAAGAGAGUUAAACAGCACGUGAAAUUGUUGAAAGGGAAGCGUUUAUGACCAGACUUGGCCCGGUUGAUCAUCCAGCGUUCUCGCUGGUGCACUCUGCCGGUCCAGGCCAGCAUCAGUUCGCUGCGGGGGAUAAAGGUUUCGGGAAUGUGGCUCCCUCCGGGGAGUGUUAUAGCCCGUUGCGUAAUACCCUGUGGUGGACUGAGGUCCGCGCUUCUGCAAGGAUGCUGGCGUAAUGGUCAUCAACGACCCGUCUUGAAACACGG
rnacentral:rRNA from 1 species